AUGAAAAGUGACCACUCUAUGGGACAGCCAAUAAAGUUCAGAAAGGGAGACAUUUCUACUGAACAAGGACUGAUCCAUCAGAAGAGAACAGACUCCCCUGUACCCAGCUGUCUGUCCAUGAAGACUGACCACUCUAUGGGACAGCCAAUAAAGUUUGGAGAGGGAGGCAUUUCUACUGAACAAGGGUAAGAAGUGAUAUAUCCUGGUCUCUUCCUUGUCUUCACUGUAUCAUGUUUGACUACAUAGUGGAGC
rnacentral:lncRNA from 1 species